CCUACGGGAGGCAGCAGUGGGGAAUAUUGGGCAAUGGGCGCAAGCCUGACCCAGCAACGCCGCGUGAAGGAAGAAGGCUUUCGGGUUGUAAACUUCUUUUCUCAGGGACGAAGCAAGUGACGGUACCUGAGGAAUAAGCCACGGCUAACUACGUGCGAGCAGCCGCGGUAAUACGUAGGUGGCAAGCGUUAUCCGGAUUUACUGGGUGUAAAGGGCGUGUAGGCGGGACUGCAAGUCAGAUGUGAAAACCAUGGGCUCAACCUAUGGCCUGCAUUUGAAAAUGGAGUGCUUGAGUACUGGAGGGGCGGACAGAAUUCCUAGUGUAGCGGUGAAAUGCGUAGAGAUGGGGAGGAACACCAGUGGCGAAGGCAGUCUGUUGGACAGCAACUGACGCUGAGGCGCGAAAGCGUGGGGAGCAAACAGGAUUAGAUACCCGAGUAGUC
rnacentral:rRNA from 1 species